rnacentral:rRNA from 1 species
AUUGAACGCUGGCGGCAGGCCUAACACAUGCAAGUCGAGCGGAUGAGUGGAGCUUGCUCCAUGAUUCAGCGGCGGACGGGUGAGUAAUGCCUAGGAAUCUGCCUGGUAGUGGGGGACAACGUUUCGAAAGGAACGCUAAUACCGCGUACGUCCUACGGGAGAAAGUGGGGGAUCUUCGGACCUUACGCUAUCAGAUGAGCCUAGGUCGGAUUAGCUAGUUGGUGAGGUAAAGGCUCACCAAGGCGACGAUCCGUAACUGGUCUGAGAGGAUGAUCAGUCACACUGGAACUGAGACACGGUCCAGACUCCUACGGGAGGCAGCAGUGGGGAAUAUUGGACAAUGGGCGAAAGCCUGAUCCAGCCAUGCCGCGUGUGUGAAGAGGGUCUUCGGAUUGUAAAGCACUUUAAGUUGGGAGGAAGGGCAGUAAGUUAAUACCUUGCUGUUUUGACGUUACCAACAGAAUAAGCACCGGCUAACUUCGUGCCAGCCGCCGCAGUAACAC